rnacentral:tRNA from 1 species
GGGGUUGUGGCUCAGUGGUAGAGUGCUCUCUGGGAUGGUAGAGUGAUUACUGGGUUCCAUCCUCAGCACCACA